CCGGAUUAGCUUUAAUGGGCUUAGGUGGGACUCGCUCGGAUUACACGCCUCCUUACGAGUUCUUAACGAAGAACCCCAAUUUUGGGCGGACUCGUAAGCCCGGAGAGAAAACCGCGAGGAUCCCCAACGUCCUGCUCGUCCUCAUCUCUGCGAGGAUCCCCAACGUCCCUCGUCCUGCUCGUCGCUCGUCGUCGACCUUGCCCUGCUUCCUCGUCGUCCUCCUCCUCACCCUCAUCUCUGCGUCUUCUCGCCCUCAUCUGGUCGGAGACAGUCUGAGAAGAGGAGCAUAAACGGAAGGAUAAGGCUGAGACUACCGCUUCACAGUUACUUGUUUCAGAAUUCUUUGUAUAGCG